UACGUAGGGCGCAAGCGUUAUCCGGAAUUAUUGGGCGUAAAGAGCUCGUAGGCGGUUUGUCGCGUCUGCCGUGAAAGUCCGGGGCUCAACUCCGGAUCUCGGCGGUGGUACGGGCAGACUAGAGUGAUGUAGGGGAGACUGGAAUUCCUGGUGUAGCGGUGGAAUGCGCAGAUAUCAGGAGGAACACCAAUAGCAAAGGCAGCUCGCUGGGACGUUACUGACACUGAGGCGCGAAAGCGUGGGGAGCGAACAGG
rnacentral:rRNA from 1 species